rnacentral:rRNA from 1 species
GACGAACGCUGGCGGCGUGCCUAAUACAUGCAAGUCGAGCGCAGGAAGUCAUCCGAACCCUUCGGGGGGACGUUGACGGAAUGAGCGGCGGACGGGUGAGUAACACGUAAAGAACCUGCCCUCAGGUCUGGGAUAACCACGAGAAAUCGGGGCUAAUACCGGAUGGGUCAUCGGACCGCAUGGUCCGAGGAUGAAAGGCGCUCCGGCGUCGCCUGGGGAUGGCUUUGCGGUGCAUUAGCUAGUUGGUGGGGUAAUGGCCCACCAAGGCGACGAUGCAUAGCCGACCUGAGAGGGUGAUCGGCCACACUGGAACUGAGACACGGUCCAGACUCCUACGGGAGGCAGCAGUAGGGAAUCUUCCGCAAUGGGCGAAAGCCUGACGGAGCAACGCCGCGUGAGUGAUGAAGGUCUUCGGAUCGUAAAACUCUGUUAUUAGGGAAGAACAUAUGUGUAAGUAACUGUGCACAUCUUGACGGUACCUAAUCAGAAAGCCACGGCUAACUACGUG